rnacentral:sRNA from 1 species
UUUUUAUCAGCGGCAGUGUCCGCUAUAAAAG